GAUGAACGCUGGCGGCGUGCCUAAUACAUGCAAGUCGAGCGAACGGACGAGAAGCUUGCUUCUCUGAUGUUAGCGGCGGACGGGUGAGUAACACGUGGAUAACCUACCUAUAAGACUGGGAUAACUUCGGGAAACCGUAGCUAAUACCGGAUAAUAUUUUGAACCGCAUGGUUCAAAAGUGAAAGACGGUCUUGCUGUCACUUAUAGAUGGAUCCGCGCUGCAUUAGCUAGUUGGUAAGGUAACGGCUUACCAAGGCAACGAUGCAUAGCCGACCUGAGAGGAUGAUCGGCCACACUGGAACUGAGACACGGUCCAGACUCCUACGGGAGGCAGCAGUAGGGAAUCUUCCGCAAUGGGCGAAAGCCUGACGGAGCAACGCCGCGUGAGUGAUGAAGGUCUUCGGAUCGUAAAACUCUGUUAUUAGGGAAGAACAUAUGUGUAAGUAACUGUGCACAUCUUGACGGUACCUAAUCAGAAAGCCACGGCUAACUACGUG
rnacentral:rRNA from 1 species